rnacentral:misc_RNA from 1 species
UCAAACUUGGUCAUUUAGAGGAAGUAAAAGUCGUAACAAGGUCUCCGUUGGUGAACCAGCGGAGGGAUCAUUACUGAGUUACCGCUCAUAACCCUUUGUGAACAUACCUUUAACUGUUGCUUCGGCGGGUAGACGGCCUCGUGAAACGGGCCUCUCCCGGCCGCCCGUCCGCGGGUGGCGCCCGCCGGAGGAUAACCAAACUCUGAUUUAACGACGUUUCUUCUGAGUGGCACAAGUAUAAUAAUCAAAACUUUUAACAACGGAUCUCUUGGUUCUGGCAUCGAUGAAGAACGCAGC